rnacentral:rRNA from 1 species
GCUCAACCGAGGAAGUGCUUCGAAAACUGGUAAACUUGAGUGCAGAAGAGGAGAGUGGAACUCCAUGUGUAGCGGUGGAAUGCGUAGAUAUAUGGAAGAACACCAGUGGCGAAGGCGGCUUUCUGGUCUGUAACUGACGCUGAGAUUCGAAAGCAUGGGUAGCAAACAGGAUUAGAUACCCUGGUAGUCCAUGCCGUAAACGAUGAGUGCUAAGUGUUGGAGGGUUUCCGCCCUUCAGUGCUGCAGCUAACGCAUUAAGCACUCCGCCUGGGGAGUACGAUCGCAAGAUUGAAACUCAAAGGAAUUGACGGGGGCCCGCACAAGCGGUGGAGCAUGUGGUUUAAUUCGAAGCAACGCGAAGAACCUUACCAGGUCUUGACAUACCAUGAAAAGCUAAGAGAUUAGUCUUUCCCUUCGGGGACAUGGAUACAGGUGGUGCAUGGUUGUCGUCAGCUCGUGUCGUGAGAUGUUGGGUUAAGUCCCGCAACGAGCGCAACCCUUAUUAUCAGUUGCCAGCAUUCAGUUGGGCACUCUGGUGAGACUGCCGGUGACAAACCGGAGGAAGGUGGGGACGACGUCAAAUCAUCAUGCCCCUUAUGACCUGGGCUACACACGUGCUACAAUGGUCGGUACAACG